rnacentral:rRNA from 1 species
AUUGAACGCUGGCGGCAGGCCUAACACAUGCAAGUCGAACGAGUGGCGGACGGGUGAUUAAUGUCUUGGAAACUGCCUGAUGGAGGGUGAUAACUACUGGAAACGGUAGCUAAUACCGCAUACCAUCAGCUAUGCCCAGAUGGGAUUCGCUAGUUGGUGGGGGAACGGCUCACCAAGGCGACGAUCCCUAUCUGGUCUGAGAGGAUGACCAGCCACACGGGAACUGAGACACGGUCCAGACUCCUACGGGAGGCAGCAGUGGGGAAUAUUGGACAAUGGGCGAAAGCCUGAUGCAGCCAUGCCGAGUGUAUGAAGAAGGCAUUCGGGUUGUAAAGUACUGUCAGCGGGGAGGCGUUACCCGCAGAAGAAGCACCGGCUAACGCCGUGCCAGACGCCGCGGUAAUAC